rnacentral:lncRNA from 1 species
UAUUUUUAUNCAUAUUUCUUCUCAUAACAAUAUUUAAUUCUAACCAGAACAAUAAUCCUAAAAACAAUAACCCUUGGGCUUGUAUAUCUGAUAAAGAUUGUCAAAAAGUACAUGGGGUGAAUAUUAGGUGUCGUAAAGGUUUUUGUACAGUGAUUUGAAACAUACCACUAAGAUGAAGUACCUCUUGUACUUGGAAACAAUAGUGCUUAUCUUGGAAUAAUUUACUUGCUGAAGUUUAGUCUUUGUUCUUGCACUGAAUAAUUGUUUUUUUCUUCCUAGUUCAUAGUUCUUCAAAUUAUUAUUUUGUACUACAAGAUGGUGAAAAUGAAAUGAUAUAAGUGUUUACAAGUGUUUUUGAUAAACUGUAAAUCUAGUUUUAAUUAUUAAAAGAAGGAUCAAACUAGAAAUCAAUCCUAGAAUAUGUUGUGCAAUCGUUUUCCAAAAAAUAAAUGAAUUUUCAUCGUAUUUAUAGGUUUCGUUAUGAACAAGACAAAUUUAUGUUUAAAAAAGAUAAUGAUUCUAUAAUUUUAAGGGUUUUUAAAAAGAUAAAACUAUUUACUCAAUAUUAUAAGAUCAUUUUUUUUGACAAGUAAUAUUAUAAGACCAUGGAAUUUAUACACUAUAAAGAGAUCAAGUCAUGUGCUAUUGUUUAGAUACAAAGAGAGAAAUAUAUGGAUAAAACUCUAAAGUUUACGAUAUUUUUAAAGUUUAUUUGAAGGACAAAGUCAUUAAAAGAUAAAUACAUAAUAUUUAUAUUUAUCUUUUUUAAAAACCCUUCAUAAAAUUAUAGAAUCAUUAUCAAAUGUCUCUUAAGUAUGUCAGUCUGUUAUGUAAGAUCCAGGUAUUUAUCUCAUUUUUAUGUUAAAUUAUUUUAUUAUAAUUUAACCUUAAGGUGUUUUAUUCUUGCGAGCGAUGAUAUUAUUUUAUAAGUUUUCAAAUUUUAUAGAUAAUACGUGCUUCUAAUUAUUUAAUUAAUACAAUAUUUAUUUUAUUUUUCACUCCAAAAAAAUUAAUUAAAAUUAUUUUAGUUUAAUUUAGCACCGCCUAUUUUAUUAUAUAUUUCUUUUUGCGAGGAUCUAUUUAUUAGAUUAUGAACGUAAUAAUAGACUCUAUAAUAAUAUCCAAACCACCAUGGAACAACUAGUAGAAAAAGUUAAAUAUCACUCUUUGUGGUGGCUAAAGGCUAAGAAGGCCAACUUUAUGUACGGUUCACAAAGACGGUGGUCGGACCCUUUAUUAUGUUUGGGUAUCAACCGACUAGCACAUUGACUCUUCAUUGUAUGGUUGACUAUUUCUAGGGAUGGCACUUUUAGUACAUCUUGUACUUAGGUGUUUCACUGCCGUUGUUAAUAUAUCCCAUUUUUAUGUCUUCAAAAAAAAGAUUAUGAGUAUCAGUAAUAAUAAAUUAAAUAAUUUUUGACCAAAAUACAGUCAUGGUUGGAAAUUUAUUUUGUGGAUACCUUAUAACCACUAUUGCCUAUUAAUUUGAUAAAAGAAUUGACUUGCAUUAGUUAAAGCAUCAUGUAAUUUUGAGUGGAUUUCUUCUAUUUUCAAUAUACAUAGGCUUAGAGUAACUCCCUAUUAGCACAGCGUUAGGUUUCUUGUGGUGCAAGCAAAACAAAACUAGGGUUUCAAUGGAGAAGAUGAAGUUGGUUAUGGUGGUUGAAGUUAGUUGAAGGGAGAGAGUAUUGAAUUGAAAAUUUUAUUCACACACAAAUGAUUGAGUUACAAGCAAAUAUAUAUACAAUGACUUAUAGAGUAAGUCUCUUGUAACUAACUAAAGUGAAGUUUAUCCAAACUAACAAACUAAACUCUUAAGUGUUUGUUAAUCAUUUGGAUAUAUAUAAUUUUGUUUUAGCUUCUUAAAAAAAAUCACUUGAUCUUACUAAUAAUUUAUUCACGUGUAACCUUUGCUUCUCUCUUAGCUUGAUCCAGUGGUAACCUGUCUUUUAUUUUACUUUUUUGUUAAAUAGCUUAAUGGAGAUCAAAUGGUCCACUGACUAGACUCUAGGCAUGGCAAUGAGGCAGGGUAGAAACGAGUUUCACCUUCUCCGUCCCCAUAUUCUACAAUUAUUUAUUUACCCGUUACGCUACCCAUAUUCAACGGGGAUGAGAAAUUGAAUCUCAUUCUUGUCCCCGAUAGAUUCAGGUCUCCCCGCCCCAUUUUCAUCCCAGAGUGGAUAUAUAUUUUUAAUAAAAAUAAAAGUAUUUUUCAGCCUUGAGUGCAAUGUUGUAAUGCAAUAUUGAAUAAAGAGAUGAUGACGAUCAAUGACUAUGUUGAUGGAGAAGAGAGAGGAGAGUGUGAGAUAUGAAAGGAGAAAAAGAGAAUUAUGAUAAGUGAUUGUCAUCUUAAAGAACGAGACUUUGUCACGUGAGUGAAAUGAUUUAAGAUUUGAGUUUCUAUUUAUAUAAAAUAGGUAAUAAAUUAAUUUUCUACAUUCAUGACAGGUUUGGGAGUUGCAAAAUUUUAUAAAUGUAGAUUAGCAAGAAUUGCAAGAAUAAC